UUGCAGCCAAUUAAGUUGACUGUGCUCUUUUCUCCAUGAGGGUCUGGUGUGCAACGCCUGCAAAUAGCAGCCUCCUCGGUAUAGUGUAUGAUGACUGUUGCCUGUACAGGUUGCCCUAGGGGAUCUUGGAGGCAGCC